GGCGGCGUGCUUAACACAUGCAAGUCGAACGGUGAUAGAGGAGCUUGCUCCUCUGGAUCAGUGGCGAACGGGUGAGUAACACGUGAGUAACCUGCCCUUGACUCUGGGAUAACCUCGGGAAACCGAAGCUAAUACCGGAUACGACCCUCGGAGGCAUCUCCAGGGGGUGGAAAGAAUUUCGGUCAAGGAUGGACUCGCGGCCUAUCAGGUAGUUGGUGAGGUAACGGCUCACCAAGCCGACGACGGGUAGCCGGCCUGAGAGGGUGACCGGCCACACUGGGACUGAGACACGGCCCANACUCCUACGGGAGGCAGCAGUGGGGAAUAUUGCACAAUGGGCGCAAGCCUGAUGCAGCAACGCCGCGUGAGGGACGACGGCCUUCGGGUUGUAAACCUCUUUUAGUAGGGAAGAAGCGAAAGUGACGGUACCUGCAGAAAAAGCACCGGCUAACUACGUGCCAGCAGCCGCGGUAAUACGUAGGGUGCAAGCGUUGUCCGGAAUUAUUGGGCGUAAAGA
rnacentral:rRNA from 1 species